GGACGCUGGGCCUGACACCGGGACUCUUAUGGCAGAAUUUAGUCUGGCUCCAACGGGGAAUUGGCUGACUCUACAGAUAAGCAGAGGACUCUCCCACCCCUGGCAAGUAGUCCCAAGGGCACCCUUACCAGACUCAAAAGUUUUAUAAGCACGCAUUUUAAGUUUUAUCUUAAUUUUUUACAAUUCUUGCGGUUAAAACUAGAAAAGGA